rnacentral:misc_RNA from 1 species
AACUGAUACUACCUGCGGGAACCUGCGGAAGGAUCAUCAAAGGAAAAUGGCUUCUCUUACUUAGGGGAGGUGCAAGGGGAGGAGAAAUUCUCUUGUUGCACUUCUCUAAACAAACAAUCGCAACUAGCACAAAUGGAGCGAGUAGUGGGAUGUAGUGUGGUUUGGUUUGGCUUGGUUUGGUGGGGGCGGUAGCAGCAGCAGUCAAAAGUGUUUGCCUGAUAAUCAGAUAGACUGAAAUGG